rnacentral:lncRNA from 1 species
UAUAAGAAGGAAGGCAAUCUGGUAAAUGAGAAAGGGUCACAGCCAGAGGCCUGGAAGUAGAGCCAGGUCUGGCAGUACCAGAGUGGGGCGCCAUUGAGCUGGAGUCUACCCAGGAUUCAGAAGGCACAGAAGGCUGGAGGGAAAUGGAAGUAUAAUAACAGACUUGUGAAUAGUUUACCUAUAUCUUCAAGCAGAAGAAUAUUACCAAGAACGGCUACACUAGGCUCUGCUCUGAAGGCCUUAUCUUCAUCACCAAAACAUUCCUUGGUAUGAUUUCUGUGGUCAACUCGUAGGCUAAGGAUGUUUUUCUAAAGAGUGAUAUGUGCUGAAAAUAUUACAGAAGAAAUGAUAUUUCUAUGGCUUAUUUCAAAAUAAUCUGGGGGGAGAGGAGAGGAUACAAGUAGAGAUGAAACAAUAGAGACCAUGGGUUAUUGUGUCAAUAUUGUUGUGUUGUGUCAAAACUGAUAUGUCUGUUGAAGUUGGGUGAGUGCCUGACAUUCCAUUAUAUUAUUCACUCUACUUUCGUAUAUGUUUAAAAUAAUCUGUAAUAAAAGCUAAAAUAUUUUUCUACUGGAUAUAUAC